rnacentral:pre_miRNA from 1 species
UAUAUACUCCCUCCGUCCAGAAAUACUUGUCAUCAAAAUAGAUAAAAGGAGAUGUAUCUAGAUGUAUUUUAGUUCUAGAUACAUCCUUUUUCAUCCAUUUUGAUGACAAGUAUUUUCGGACGGAGGGAGUAUGAU